AGAGUUUGAUCCUGGCUCAGGAUGAACGCUGGCGGCGUGCCUAAUACAUGCAAGUCGAGCGAUGAGGCUCCUUCGGGAGUACAUCAGCGGCGAACGGGUGAGUAACACGUGGGUGACUUGCCCCGAAGAUGGGGAUAACCUCUGGAAACGGGGGCUAAUACCCAAUGUGCUCGGUGAUUCGGUUCAUCGAGUAAAGCUCCGGCGCUUCGGGAGAGGCCUGCGGCCCAUCAGCUAGUUGGUAGGGUAACGGCCUACCAAGGCAGAGACGGGUAGGGGGCGUGAGAGCGCGGACCCCCACACUGGCACUGAGAUACGGGCCAGACUCCUACGGGAGGCAGCAGUAAGGGAUAUUGCGCAAUGGACGAAAGUCAGACGCAGCGACGCCGCGUGGGCGAUGAAGGCCUUCGGGUUGUAAAGCCCUUUUAUGGGGGAAGAGAAAAAGGACGGUACCCCAGGGAUAAGUCCCGGCUAACUACGUGCCAGCAGCCGCGGUAAAACGUAGGGGACAAGCGUUAUCCGGAUUCACUGGGCGUAAAGAGCGUUGGGGCGGUUCCGUAAGUUGGGCGUGAAAGCUCCGGGCUUAACUCGGAGAUGUCGUUCAAUACUGCGGGGCUUGAGGACAGCAGAGGAAGGUGGAAUUCCCGGUGUAGUGUGAAAUGCGUAGAUAUCGGGAGGAACACCCGUGGCGAAGCGGCUUCUGGCUGUUCUGACGCUGAAGGCGAAAGCUAGGGGGAGCGAACGGAUAGAAUACCCGGUAGUCUUAGCUGUAACGAUGAUGCUGGGUGUGGGGGGGU
rnacentral:rRNA from 1 species